rnacentral:rRNA from 1 species
UACAGAGGUCUCAAGCGUUGUUCGGAAUUACUGGGCGUAAAGGGUGCGCAGGCCGCGCGGGCAGUCAAAUGUGUAAUCCAGGGGCUCAACCCCUGAACUGCGCUUGAUACUUCCGCGCUCGAGCUUUGGAGAGGAGUCUGGAAUUCUCGGUGUAGCAGUGAAAUGCGUGGAUAUCGAGAAGAACACUUAGGGCGAAGGCAAGACUCUGGACAAAUGCUGACGCUCAUGCACGAAGGCUAGGGUAGCGAACGGG